rnacentral:rRNA from 1 species
AACGAACGCUGGCGGCAUGCCUAACACAUGCAAGUCGAACGAGACCUUCGGGUCUAGUGGCGCACGGGUGCGUAACGCGUGGGAACCUGCCCUUAGGUUCGGAAUAACUCCCCGAAAGGGGUGCUAAUACCGGAUAAUGUCUUCGGACCAAAGAUUUAUCGCCUUUGGAUGGGCCCGCGUUGGAUUAGCUAGUUGGUAGGGUAAAAGCCUACCAAGGCGACGAUCCAUAGCUGGUCUGAGAGGAUGAUCAGCCACACUGGGACUGAGACACGGCCCAGACUCCUGCGGGAGGCGGCGGUGGGGAAUUUUGGAAAGGGGGCGAAAGCUUGACCCGCCAACGCCGGGGGAGUGAGGAAGGCCUUGGGGUUGAAAAGCUUUUUUACCGGGGAUGAUAAUGACAGUACCGGGAAAAAAAGCCCCGGCUACCCCCGUC